UACGGGGGGGGCAAGCGUUGUUCGGAAUUACUGGGCGUAAAGGGUGCGUAGGUGGUUGUUUAAGUCUGUUGUGAAAGCCCCGGGCUCAACCUGGGAAUGGCAAUGGAUACUGGACAGCUAGAGUGCGGUAGAGGGUAGUGGAAUUCCAGGUGUAGCGGUGAAAUGCGUAGAUAUCUGGAGGAACACCGGUGGCGAAGGCGGCAUUCUGGACCGAUAUUGACGCUGAGGAGCGAAAGCCAGGGGAGCAAACGGG
rnacentral:rRNA from 1 species